AUUGAACGCUGGCGGCAUGCCUUACACAUGCAAGUCGAACGGCAGCGCGGACUUCGGUCUGGCGGCGAGGGGCGAACGGGUGAGUAAUACAUCGGAACGUACCCUGUUGUGGGGGAUAACUAGUCGAAAGAUUAGCUAAUACCGCAUACGACCUGAGGGUGAAAGUGGGGGACCGCAAGGCCUCACGCAGCAGGAGCGGCCGAUGUCUGAUUAGCUAGUUGGUGGGGUAAAGGCCCACCAAGGCGACGAUCAGUAGCUGGUCUGAGAGGACGAUCAGCCACACUGGGACUGAGACACGGCCCAGACUCCUACGGGAGGCAGCAGUGGGGAAUUUUGGACAAUGGGGGCAACCCUGAUCCAGCAAUGCCGCGUGUGUGAAGAAGGCCUUCGGGUUGUAAAGCACUUUUGUCCGGAAAGAAAUCGCGCUGGUUAAUACCUGGCGUGGAUGACGGUACCGGAAGAAUAAGCACCGGCUAACUACGUGCCAGCAGCCGCGGUAA
rnacentral:rRNA from 1 species